GGUUAAGCGACUAAGCGUACACGGUGGAUGCCCUGGCAGUCAGAGGCGAUGAAGGACGUGCUAAUCUGCGAUAAGCGUCGGUGAGGUGAUAUGAACCGUUAUAACCGGCGAUUUCCGAAUGGGGAAACCCAGUGUGUUUCGACACACUAUCAUUAACUGAAUCCAUAGGUUAAUGAGGCGAACCGGGGGAACUGAAACAUCUAAGUACCCCGAGGAAAAGAAAUCAACCGAGAUUCCCCCAGUAGCGGCGAGCGAACGGGGAGCAGCCCAGAGCCUGAAUCAGUGUGUGUGUUAGUGGAAGCGUCUGGAAAGGCGUGCGAUACAGGGUGACAGCCCCGUACACAAAAAUGCACAUACUGUGAGCUCGAUGAGUAGGGCGGGACACGUGGUAUCCUGUCUGAAUAUGGGGGGACCAUCCUCCAAGGCUAAAUACUCCUGACUGACCGAUAGUGAACCAGUACCGUGAGGGAAAGGCGAAAAGAACCCCGGCGAGGGGAGUGAAAAAGAACCUGAAACCGUGUACGUACAAGCAGUGGGAGCCUCUUAAUGGGGUGACUGCGUACCUUUUGUAUAAUGGGUCAGCGACUUAUAUUCUGUAGCAAGGUUAACCGAAUAGGGGAGCCGAAGGGAAACCGAGUCUUAACUGGGCGUUAAGUUGCAGGGUAUAGACCCGAAACCCGGUGAUCUAGCCAUGGGCAGGUUGAAGGUUGGGUAACACUAACUGGAGGACCGAACCGACUAAUGUUGAAAAAUUAGCGGAUGACUUGUGGCUGGGGGUGAAAGGCCAAUCAAACCGGGAGAUAGCUGGUUCUCCCCGAAAGCUAUUUAGGUAGCGCCUCGUGAAUUCAUCUCCGGGGGUAGAGCACUGUUUCGGCAAGGGGGUCAUCCCGACUUACCAACCCGAUGCAAACUGCGAAUACCGGAGAAUGUUAUCACGGGAGACACACGGCGGGUGCUAACGUCCGUCGUGAAGAGGGAAACAACCCAGACCGCCAGCUAAGGUCCCAAAGUCAUGGUUAAGUGGGAAACGAUGUGGGAAGGCCCAGACAGCCAGGAUGUUGGCUUAGAAGCAGCCAUCAUUUAAAGAAAGCGUAAUAGCUCACUGGUCGAGUCGGCCUGCGCGGAAGAUGUAACGGGGCUAAACCAUGCACCGAAGCUGCGGCAGCGACACUAUGUGUUGUUGGGUAGGGGAGCGUUCUGUAAGCCUGCGAAGGUGUACUGUGAGGUAUGCUGGAGGUAUCAGAAGUGCGAAUGCUGACAUAAGUAACGAUAAAGCGGGUGAAAAGCCCGCUCGCCGGAAGACCAAGGGUUCCUGUCCAACGUUAAUCGGGGCAGGGUGAGUCGACCCCUAAGGCGAGGCCGAAAGGCGUAGUCGAUGGGAAACAGGUUAAUAUUCCUGUACUUGGUGUUACUGCGAAGGGGGGACGGAGAAGGCUAUGUUGGCCGGGCGACGGUUGUCCCGGUUUAAGCGUGUAGGCUGGUUUUCCAGGCAAAUCCGGAAAAUCAAGGCUGAGGCGUGAUGACGAGGCACUACGGUGCUGAAGCAACAAAUGCCCUGCUUCCAGGAAAAGCCUCUAAGCAUCAGGUAACAUCAAAUCGUACCCCAAACCGACACAGGUGGUCAGGUAGAGAAUACCAAGGCGCUUGAGAGAACUCGGGUGAAGGAACUAGGCAAAAUGGUGCCGUAACUUCGGGAGAAGGCACGCUGAUAUGUAGGUGAAGUCCCUUGCGGAUGGAGCUGAAAUCAGUCGAAGAUACCAGCUGGCUGCAACUGUUUAUUAAAAACACAGCACUGUGCAAACACGAAAGUGGACGUAUACGGUGUGACGCCUGCCCGGUGCCGGAAGGUUAAUUGAUGGGGUUAGCGGUAACGCGAAGCUCUUGAUCGAAGCCCCGGUAAACGGCGGCCGUAACUAUAACGGUCCUAAGGUAGCGAAAUUCCUUGUCGGGUAAGUUCCGACCUGCACGAAUGGCGUAAUGAUGGCCAGGCUGUCUCCACCCGAGACUCAGUGAAAUUGAACUCGCUGUGAAGAUGCAGUGUACCCGCGGCAAGACGGAAAGACCCCGUGAACCUUUACUAUAGCUUGACACUGAACAUUGAGCCUUGAUGUGUAGGAUAGGUGGGAGGCUUUGAAGUGUGGACGCCAGUCUGCAUGGAGCCGGCCUUGAAAUACCACCCUUUAAUGUUUGAUGUUCUAACGUUGGCCCCUGAUCGGGGUUGCGGACAGUGUCUGGUGGGUAGUUUGACUGGGGCGGUCUCCUCCUAAAGAGUAACGGAGGAGCACGAAGGUUGGCUAAUCCUGGUCGGACAUCAGGAGGUUAGUGCAAUGGCAUAAGCCAGCUUGACUGCGAGCGUGACGGCGCGAGCAGGUGCGAAAGCAGGUCAUAGUGAUCCGGUGGUUCUGAAUGGAAGGGCCAUCGCUCAACGGAUAAAAGGUACUCCGGGGAUAACAGGCUGAUACCGCCCAAGAGUUCAUAUCGACGGCGGUGUUUGGCACCUCGAUGUCGGCUCAUCACAUCCUGGGGCUGAAGUAGGUCCCAAGGGUAUGGCUGUUCGCCAUUUAAAGUGGUACGCGAGCUGGGUUUAGAACGUCGUGAGACAGUUCGGUCCCUAUCUGCCGUGGGCGCUGGAGAACUGAGGGGGGCUGCUCCUAGUACGAGAGGACCGGAGUGGACGCAUCACUGGUGUUCGGGUUGUCAUGCCAAUGGCACUGCCCGGUAGCUAAAUGCGGAAGAGAUAAGUGCUGAAAGCAUCUAAGCACGAAACUUGCCCCGAGAUGAGUUCUCCCUGACUCCUUGAGAGUCCUGAAGGAACGUUGAAGACGACGACGUUGAUAGGCCGGGUGUGUAAGCGCAGCGAUGCGUUGAGCUAACCGGUACUAAUGAACCGUGAGGCUUAACCUU
rnacentral:rRNA from 1 species